GACGAACGCUGGCGGCGCGCCUAACACAUGCAAGUCGAACGAGCGAGAGAGAGCUUGCUUUCUCGAGCGAGUGGCGAACGGGUGAGUAACGCGUGAGGAACCUGCCUCAAAGAGGGGGACAACAGUUGGAAACGACUGCUAAUACCGCAUAAGCCCACGGGUCGGCAUCGACCAGAGGGAAAAGGAGCAAUCCGCUUUGAGAUGGCCUCGCGUCCGAUUAGCUAGUUGGUGAGGUAACGGCCCACCAAGGCGACGAUCGGUAGCCGGACUGAGAGGUUGAACGGCCACAUUGGGACUGAGACACGGCCCAGACUCCUACGGGAGGCAGCAGUGGGGAAUAUUGCACAAUGGGGGAAACCCUGAUGCAGCGACGCCGCGUGGAGGAAGAAGGUCUUCGGAUUGUAAACUCCUGUUGUUGAGGAAGAUAAUGACGGUACUCAACAAGGAAGUGACGGCUAACUACGUGCCAGCAGCCGCGGUAAAACGUAGGUCACAAGCGUUGUCCGGAAUUACUGGGUGUAAAGGGAGCGCAGGCGGGAAGACAAGUUGGAAGUGAAAUCCAUGGGCUCAACCCAUGAACUGCUUUCAAAACUGUUUUUCUUGAGUAGUGCAGAGGUAGGCGGAAUUCCCGGUGUAGCGGUGGAAUGCGUAGAUAUCGGGAGGAACACCAGUGGCGAAGGCGGCCUA
rnacentral:rRNA from 1 species